rnacentral:SRP_RNA from 1 species
GCCAGGCAUGGUGGCGCAGGCCUGUAAUCCCAGCUACAAGGGAGGCUGAGGCAGGAGAAUCGCUUGAACCUGGGAGACAGAGGUUGCAGUGAGCCGAGAUCAAGCCACAGCACUCUAGCCUAGGUGACAGGGUGAGACUCUGUCUCUC